AUACGUAGGGAGCGAGCGUUGUCCGGAAUUACUGGGUGUAAAGGGAGCGUAGGCGGGAGUGCAAGUCAGAUGUGAAAUACAUGGGCUCAACCCAUGGGCUGCAUUUGAAACUGCAUUUCUUGAGUGAAGUAGAGGUAAGCGGAAUUCCUGGUGUAGCGGUGAAAUGCGUAGAUAUCAGGAGGAACACCGGUGGCGAAGGCGGCUUACUGGGCUUUUACUGACGCUGAGGCUCGAAAGCGUGGGGAGCAAACAGGAUUAGAUACCCUGGUAGUCCACGCUGUAAACGAUGAUUACUAGGUGUGGGGGGACUGACCCCUUCCGUGCCGCAGUUAACACAAUAAGUAAUCCACCUGGGGAGUACGGCCGCAAGGUUGAAACUCAAAUGAAUUGACGGGG
rnacentral:rRNA from 1 species